GCCCCUCCCCCGCCGCGCCGCACUCACGUGACCGCAGCCCGCAGCCGCGCGCAGCCGGGGAGGCGGGAGCGGGAUCGGCAGGCCCCGCCCCUAGGAGAAGGGGGCCUGCGCCGGAAGCCCCCGGAGCUCCGGGAAGGAAAAAGAGGGGGUCUGAGAACCCGCGGACCGAGCGUGACCGCCACCACUGGAAUGCAAGGUUCACAUUGAAACUUUGUUUUGUUCAAUGAUACAACCCAAGUACCUAACGCAAAGUUUUGCAUAUAGUAUGCCCUCAAUAAAUAAUUGUUGAAUGAAUGUGUAAGAAGCCCCUGCUACAGAGUAGUGCUCAGCAAACAGCUCUUUUUGUUGCCCUACUUUGAGAUAAGACAGGAGUUACAGACUCAGAUGAGUAAGUGGGCCUGGUGGCGAUGGUGGCUGACGAGAACGCUCGUGGCUAGUCUAAAGCAAGCAACUAGUCUUCAGCAACAGCCAGCCGUUGCCAUGACAGAAUGAGAAACUGCGCAUUCCCAAGAAAAACCAGAAAUCCAGAAAUUUAUAUAGGAAAUCUGAUCUGUAAAUAUUGAGACCUUCCUAGAGAAGAUGCCAGUAAUUUGCUGACGACUUUACUAAAGUGCCUGCUUAUCUGACUUUCACCCCCUGAAGGCUUAAAGCUGGAAUCUGGACAUGGUGACCCUGCUUCAACCACGCAAAUAAGGAAGAGGUCCAACAGAUGGCAGCCGCACAAGAGAGAAGGCGCUUGGGUCCCUGAAUCACUGCAUGGAAGAAAGCCACUUGUUGACCCGGAACCUACCUUGGAACCCUCUACUUUACCGAGCAUGAUGUCCUUCUCCAGGAACUGGUCCUUCCUGGUAAUGUGUACAAAGUACUUCAGAUGAAGUCUUACUAUCCUUGCUUAUAAGGAGCAUUCUGGUUGUACUUCUUCCAAGACAGAUUUCUUCAUUCUUCUGGCAGUCCAUGGUGUGUUCAAUAUUUUUUUUCAAAACCAUGAUUCAAAGGCAUCAGUCCUUCUCCAGCCUUCCUUAUUCAUUGUCCAGCUUUCACAUGCAUAUGAGGUGAUUGAAAAUACCAUGUCUUGGGUCAAGCACACCUGAGUCCUCAAAGUGACAGCUUUGCUUUUUAACACUUUAAAGAGGUCUUUUGCAGCAUAUUUUCCCAAUGCAAUACGUCGUUUGAUUUCUUGACUGCUGCUUCCAUGGGCGUUGAUUGUAGAUCCAAGUAAAUUGAAGUUCUUGACAGCUUCAGUAUUUCCCCCAUUUAUCAUGAUGUUCCUAAUUGGUCCAUUUGUGAGGAUUUUUUUUUUAUUCUUGUUGAGGUGUAAUCUAUACUGAAGGCUGUGGUCUUUGAUCUUCAUCAGAAAGUGCCUCAUUAAGUAAAUGAUAUAAAAAUUAUAAUACAUGUACAGAGUAAAAAAAAACAAACUCAAUAGUAUAAAAGGGUAGGAUAUAUAAUGAAAACAAGCUAAUAAAAUAUGCAGGAUCCAGAGCAAGAUGGCAGCAUGAGAAGCUCCUCGCUCUAGUCUCCGUAUAAAACCUCAAAAAAAAAAAACAGAUAGAACCAAGUUUGUCAGAACUCUGGAAACCAGUCAAAGGGUUAUAGCCAUCAAGGGAACUUUGAAUCAAGAAAAAGGUAACAUCAAAAUGGUAGGAUAGCUUUGAGUUUUCUACAUGCUGAGUCCUACCACUCCCAGGGGCAGAUUAUCCUAUAGGCAAGGUAAGCACAGUGCUUUCCUUGCUUACCAGACCAUUUAUAGUGAGCAAUUUCACUAUGAAAUUUCACUAUGAGAUCAGUAAGUAAGCACAAGUAAGCCUGUGCUUACCUUGCUUACUGGGUCAUCUGUGCCUGUCAGGGAUUGUAAAUUUGAAAAGAGGCUUUGAUUCUAUAGGAAGGUGCUGUGGGGUUGGGAGAGAGACAUAUGCCAGAGGUACCUAGAAGCAGAAUCUUUGAUGUGGUGAAAAAAUGUGAAAUUGUCCACUACAGAUGAUCUGGUAAACAAGGUAAACACCCUGCUUACCUUGCCUUUGCACAAUCUACCCCUGCCCCCUCCCAGGGAAGGAUACAUGCUCAGAAAAUACCCAAGACCCUAAUGCUUUCACCUCAGGUUGAUGCCUAGGCUCGAAACAAGCCUGGGUAAGUGUUGACAGAGGACCCCAGCACAGAGUUAAUGUGUAAAGACUGAGCAAAUUGGGUUGUUUGUUUCAUUUUAGCAUUCAAGGAAAAAUCUCUGUCAAAACAUGAGCUGAUCAAAAGCUAAGGUUGGAAAUAAGAAUACCUGCUCCAAACUACUAUGCAUACAAAGAACUAAAAACUCUAGAGUUCAAUUUUGCCAUCACUUAGUCUACCAAAGUUAAGAUUUUAAAAGGUUCAAUUACAUGAUUACGGGGUGAGCGGGAGGAAGGGCGUGGAGAUGCCCUGCUCUGCCGUGACCUAGAGGUUUUCACUGGUCAGAAGUUCAACGAGGCAAACAUGAUAAAAGGUUUCUAAAAUAGCUUCUGUAAUCUUAGGCUGCUUUUCAAAUCACAGGAAAUAAUAGUUAUACUCUAUUUUAUACUAAUUCAAUUGCAUUUAUUGUACAAUAUUCAGUUUUGGUUGCUAUGCUGUAACAACCUAGAGAAUCUCAAAAAGGUGAGUAGAAAGCUAAAGAGUUUGAAAUUUUUUGAAAAAUAAGGAGUGGUCCACAAAAUUGUGAUGCUUAAAGAAGAGUUGUGUUGGGAGCUCUAAUAGCUCAUUCAGGAAACACACACACAUUAUUGGGCACACAUAUGCCACACUCUGUGCAAGGCACUACCUAGUACUCCAUUCUCUUUUCACCUGUUAUUUCAAUAAAUACACAUUGAGCAUUUACUGUGGCCUAGGCAGUGUUCUAGGCCUUGAGGAUAGAAAAGUGAAUGAGACAGACAAGAUAACAGGCUCUUUCACAGCUUACUUUCUAGUAGAGGUAAACAGACCGUAAAUAGGCAAAUGCAGAAUUUAAAUAAUUUUAGAUAAUUUUCAAAAAUAAAACCAGGUUAUGGACGGAAAGUGAAUAGAAAGGUUUCUUGAGACUGAGUAGAGAGGGAAGAUCUUUGUGACAAGACUAUGUCUAUGUUGAUAUCAGAAUAGAAAAAAAAUGGAGUAAGGUAUUUAAAGAUCUAAAGGAAGAACAUUUUAAAACAGUUAAUACAAAGGAACUAAAGCUGGAAUAAGGCAUGGCUUAAAUGAAGUCAGAAAAAUGUGUUAAGAAAGGAAAGCAGGUGCCAGAUCUAGAACUUUCCCCAAAGGUUAUAUAUUAAUAUAGCAGUGUGUUUUAAAUUUUUUAUUUUAUUUUGUCCUUACAAAGGUAUAACUAUCAACCAUAAUGUUAUUUUCUUUUUUUAAGAAUUUAUUUUGUUGCUGAGAAUAUACAGCUGAACAUAUACCAAUUCAACAAUUUAUACAUGUACAAUUUAUUAUAUUCUUCAAGUUGUGCAAUCAUUCUCACCUGCCUUUUCUGAAUUGUUCCUCCCCCACUAGCAUAAACUCACUGCCACCUAAGUUUCGUAUCUAAUCCUUAGAGUUGGUGUUGUCAAUUUCAUCCCAUAGAUAGUUCUUAAAAGAACACAAUACUCAAGACAGACAUUUUUUAAAAAAUAAUUUUUACUGUGCUUUAAGUGAAAGUUUACAAAUCAAGUCAGUCUGUCACAUAUAAGCUUAUAUACACCUUACUACAUACUCCCAUUUACUCUUCCCCUAAUGAGUCAGCCCGCUUCCUCCUUCUAGUCUCUCCUUUCGUGACCAUUUUGCCCGUUUCUAACCCUUUCUACCCUCCCAUCUCCCCUCCAGACAGGAGAUGCCAAUACAGUCUCUAGUGUCCACCUGAUACAAGCAGCUCACUCUUCAUCAGCAUCUCUCUCCAACCCAUUGUCCAGUCCCUUCCAUGUCCAAUGAGUUGUCUUCGGGAAUGGUUCCUGUCCUGGGCCAACAGAAGGUUUGGGGACCAUGACCGCCGGGAUUCUUCUAGUCUCAGUCAGACCAUUAAGUCUGGUCUUUUUAUGAGAAUUUGGGGUCUGCAUCUCACUGUUCUCCUACUCCCUCAGGGGUUCUCUGUUGUGCUCCCUGUCAGGGCAGUCAUCGGUUGUGGCCGGGCACCAUCUAGUUCUUCUGGUCUCAGGAUGAUUCAGUGUCCGUCUUAUUUCAACUGGCUAAUAAGACAGGACAAGAACCCAAGUGGCGUUCGGUUACAGCUGGGCACCAUCCAGUUCUUCAAGUCUCAUGGCAAAGAAGGCAAUUGUUCAUGGAGGCAAUUAGCCACACAUUAUUUUAUUUUUUAAAAACAAAAUAUUCCAGACAUACAGACAUCCAGAGAAGGUCAUAAGAAUAAUUUAACAAACACCUAUGUAUCCACCAACCACCUUAAGAAAUAAAACAACUAAUGCAUUGAAACCCUUGUAUGCACUCUCCUUUACUCUCUCCUGAACUCCCCUCUUCUCUCUCCUGAA